UACAGGGGGUGCAAACGUUGCUCGGAAUCAUUGGGCGUAAAGCGCACGUAGGCGGUUCGUUAUGUCGGAUGUGAAAGCCCUUGGCUUAACCGAGGAAGUGCAUCCGAAACUGGCGAGCUAGAGUACGAAAGAGGAUCGCGGAAUUCCCGGUGUAGAGGUGAAAUUCGUAGAUAUCGGGAGGAACACCGGUGGCGAAGGCGGGUCUCUGGGUAGUAACUGACGCUGAGGAACGAAAGCGUGGGUAGCGAACAGG
rnacentral:rRNA from 1 species